UAGAGAUACCGGAUUGAGAAGAAGGGGAUGAUGGCAGAGCUGGUGGCGGUAGAUGAGAAUUGGCAGUUCUUACAGAUAUUUUUGUAUAUGGUGGUGUUGGCCUCAGAGGCAAUAAUUAAAACUGAUUGUACAUAUUCUACUGGUUUUGCCUUGGUAUGAAAUUGGUUGAAACGGUCGUUCUCCACCACUAGGCCACAGGCCUUUGGUUUCUGAUGUUAGCUAUUGCUUCAGGAAGGUCUCUAAUAUUGUCCUAAUUGAUAAUUUUUUUCUUUCUAGUAAUUUGAGUGUGAAUUGAGCCUCUGAAAACAGUAUGUUGAAACUCAAAAAAACUCGUUUGUUAUUUUGUUAUAACAAUUAGUAUUCUGCACACGUCAAUUUCAACAAAGAUCAAUUGAAACACCCCCAAUGCAUUACCGUUUGCAUUUUCGAUUUUGAACUACAAUAGUGUUUCUUGACCAUCAUUAAGUUAUCUUUGUAGUUCCGCUCCUUUUGUUAUGCAAUUGGUGGUAAUUGGUAAAUGGACGCAUGGCCAAUGGAGUAUUCCAUAAAAAUUGCUGGAGGUUUAUUGCAGCAAUAAUGGAUCUGGUCAUAAUGUAGCUGCUUUGAGGUACGAUGGCAUGAUUUCUCUGAUAACAUCAUUAUGUCCCUCAUUUUCUUUGGUGUAAGAACACUGAUGUGUGCAUAAGUUGCUUGGUUCCUCAACACACAUCACACAUUUGGAAUCUUCAUGAUGUAAGAAAAAAUUGAGCUCAUUGAUGUAUAGAUUAUAUUUGAAAUCAUUUUACUUUUUCUUAUGUUCGGCUGCAUGGAAUUGAAGCCUCCAAUUCCAUGCCACGGAACAUAGCCUAAGCAUCUUUUUCUUGGUGGUUGAGCGGGGAUUGGCUCAACAGCAGCCAUUAAUCUGUGUCUGGUUAGGUACUAGGAAUAUCAACUUCUAGAUUACAAUUCAUGGUUUCUAAAACAGGUAAAAAUAUUCUAUAAAUUAAUCAAGCGUCUAAAAUAUUAAGCUUGAGAGUAUCAAAUUUGUUAUUCUUAAUCUUGCUUUAUUGUUCCAGUUGAAUAAUAACAAUAGCUGGAAGCAGUUGAAAAGUUUAUGUUGUAAAAUCUGAUAAUUGCAAUAAACUUUCUAAAAAAUAUAAGAUGAAUUUAUCUACCAUUAAGUUAUACUUUCUAAUAUGUUUCUUGUGACCUCUUUGUUGGAGACUCUUAGCAAUUCAAUUUGGCAAAACUAACCCCCAUUGAGGCUGUUUGCGGUCAAACACCAUCUGAGUAGGUGCCUUUUCUCUUCUCCCUCUGUUUUUUUAUGUUUGAAUGAAGGAUAUUUUCUUUCUUUGUAUUCAAUAGCAAAAUCCUGUCUAUUAACUAUUAUGAAUACUAUCAUUCAUUGAAGUUCAAUGGGUUCACAUAUAUAUAAAAAGCAGUGUUGAGUAAUAUACACAUCAGAGUCAUUAAAGUAAUGAAUAUACAUCUAGUUAUAGACAAAAUCAAAGUUACGAAAAUUGCAUGUAACUCUCUUUUCUUGUUUUCUGGAUUUCAACUCAUUUCUUAGGUGUGGUUAUCCUGCUGUCAAUGCCUCGAACUAUGACUUGAGCUUUCAUCCAACGAGUUCCAACAAUGACUGCAAACUCUAUGAAAAUUUCAAGCACGCCAAGUGCUAUGAUUGUUUUUGUUGCAAGUAAACGUCAUUUUCCAGUUUUCUACUCCAUGACCUCUCUUUUACUCAAAAUAUCAUUUCCAUUUUCUUCUUUAGUAUCAUAUUUUCAGGGCUGGAGUUGCACAAUACAUGAAAACUGAAUGGAGGAUGGUUGCAAUCUGUAACGUGGUUUGGUUCAUUGUCUUGCGUCAGUCAGUAAUCUACUUCAUAGGAUGUUGUGUCAGACAAAAUGCUGCAAGAAAUCGUUCUAAAGUCUGAAUAGGAUCAUUCUAUCUCCAUAAAUCUCUCCCAAGAAUUAAAUCAAAUCUUGUACUUUAGGGGUGACAAUUCUGUUAGUUGAUAAUCAUGUUUAGUUUCUCAAAAUAGUGUUAUUAUUUUAAGUGCUGGCGAAAGUUUGUCAUUGAAG